rnacentral:rRNA from 1 species
GGUUAAGCGACUAAGCGUACACGGUGGAUGCCCUGGCAGUCAGAGGCGAUGAAGGACGUGCUAAUCUGCGAAAAGCGUCGGUAAGGUGAUAUGAACCGUUAUAGCCGGCGAUGUCCGAAUGGGGAAACCCAGUGCAAUUCGUUGCACUAUCGUUAACUGAAUACAUAGGUUAACGAGGCGAACCGGGGGAACUGAAACAUCUAAGUACCCCGAGGAAAAGAAAUCAACCGAGAUUCCCCCAGUAGCGGCGAGCGAACGGGGAGCAGCCCAGAGUCUGAAUCAGCUUGUGUGUUAGUGGAACGGUCUGGAAAGUCCGACGGUACAGGGUGAUAGUCCCGUACACCAAAAUGCACAGGCUGUGAACUCGAAGAGUAGGGCGGGACACGUGGUAUCCUGUCUGAAUAUGGGGGGACCAUCCUCCAAGGCUAAAUACUCCUGACUGACCGAUAGUGAACCAGUACCGUGAGGGAAAGGCGAAAAGAACCCCGGCGAGGGGAGUGAAAAAGAACCUGAAACCGUGUACGUACAAGCAGUGGGAGCACCUUCGGGUGUGACUGCGUACCUUUUGUAUAAUGGGUCAGCGACUUAUAUUCUGUAGCAAGGUUAACCGUAUAGGGGAGCCGCAGGGAAACCGAGUCUUAACUGGGCGUUAAGUUGCAGGGUAUAGACCCGAAACCCGGUGAUCUAGCCAUGGGCAGGUUGAAGGUUGGGUAACACUAACUGGAGGACCGAACCGACUAAUGUUGAAAAAUUAGCGGAUGACUUGUGGCUGGGGGUGAAAGGCCAAUCAAACCGGGAGAUAGCUGGUUCUCCCCGAAAGCUAUUUAGGUAGCGCCUCGUGAAUUCAUCUUCGGGGGUAGAGCACUGUUUCGGCUAGGGGGUCAUCCCGACUUACCAACCCGAUGCAAACUACGAAUACCGAAGAAUGUUAUCACGGGAGACACACGGCGGGUGCUAACGUCCGUCGUGAAGAGGGAAACAACCCAGACCGCCAGCUAAGGUCCCAAAGUCAUGGUUAAGUGGGAAACGAUGUGGGAAGGCACAGACAGCCAGGAUGUUGGCUUAGAAGCAGCCAUCAUUUAAAGAAAGCGUAAUAGCUCACUGGUCGAGUCGGCCUGCGCGGAAGAUGUAACGGGGCUAAACCAUGCACCGAAGCUGCGGCAGCGACACUAUGUGUUGUUGGGUAGGGGAGCGUUCUGUAAGCCUGCGAAGGUGACCUGUGAGGGUUGCUGGAGGUAUCAGAAGUGCGAAUGCUGACAUAAGUAACGAUAAAGCGGGUGAAAAGCCCGCUCGCCGGAAGACCAAGGGUUCCUGUCCAACGUUAAUCGGGGCAGGGUGAGUCGACCCCUAAGGCGAGGCCGAAAGGCGUAGUCGAUGGGAAACAGGUUAAUAUUCCUGUACUUGGUGUUACUGCGAAGGGGGGACGGAGAAGGCUAUGUUAGCCGGGCGACGGUUGUCCCGGUUUAAGCAUGUAGGCUGGUUGUCCAGGCAAAUCCGGAUAAUCAAGGCUGAGGUGUGAUGACGAGGCACUACGGUGCUGAAGUAACAAAUGCCCUGCUUCCAGGAAAAGCCUCUAAGCAUCAGGUAACAUUAAAUCGUACCCCAAACCGACACAGGUGGUCAGGUAGAGAAUACCAAGGCGCUUGAGAGAACUCGGGUGAAGGAACUAGGCAAAAUGGUGCCGUAACUUCGGGAGAAGGCACGCUGGUGUGUAGGUGAAGUCCCUGCGGAUGGAGCUGAGACCAGUCGAAGAUACCAGCUGGCUGCAACUGUUUAUUAAAAACACAGCACUGUGCAAACACGAAAGUGGACGUAUACGGUGUGACGCCUGCCCGGUGCCGGAAGGUUAAUUGAUGGGGUUAUCCGUAAGGAGAAGCUCUUGAUCGAAGCCCCGGUAAACGGCGGCCGUAACUAUAACGGUCCUAAGGUAGCGAAAUUCCUUGUCGGGUAAGUUCCGACCUGCACGAAUGGCGUAAUGAUGGCCAGGCUGUCUCCACCCGAGACUCAGUGAAAUUGAACUCGCUGUGAAGAUGCAGUGUACCCGCGGCAAGACGGAAAGACCCCGUGAACCUUUACUAUAGCUUGACACUGAACAUUGAGCCUUGAUGUGUAGGAUAGGUGGGAGGCUUUGAAGCGUGGACGCCAGUCUGCGUGGAGCCAACCUUGAAAUACCACCCUUUAAUGUUUGAUGUUCUAACGUUGGCCCCUUACCGGGGUUGCGGACAGUGUCUGGUGGGUAGUUUGACUGGGGCGGUCUCCUCCCAAAGCGUAACGGAGGAGCACGAAGGUUAGCUAAUCCUGGUCGGACAUCAGGAGGUUAGUGCAAUGGCAUAAGCUAGCUUGACUGCGAGCGUGACGGCGCGAGCAGGUGCGAAAGCAGGUCAUAGUGAUCCGGUGGUUCUGAAUGGAAGGGCCAUCGCUCAACGGAUAAAAGGUACUCCGGGGAUAACAGGCUGAUACCGCCCAAGAGUUCAUAUCGACGGCGGUGUUUGGCACCUCGAUGUCGGCUCAUCACAUCCUGGGGCUGAAGUAGGUCCCAAGGGUAUGGCUGUUCGCCAUUUAAAGUGGUACGCGAGCUGGGUUUAGAACGUCGUGAGACAGUUCGGUCCCUAUCUGCCGUGGGCGCUGGAGAAUUGAGGGGGGCUGCUCCUAGUACGAGAGGACCGGAGUGGACGCAUCACUGGUGUUCGGGUUGUCAUGCCAAUGGCACUGCCCGGUAGCUAAAUGCGGAAGAGAUAAGUGCUGAAAGCAUCUAAGCACGAAACUUGCCCCGAGAUGAGUUCUCCCUGAGACUUUAAGUCUCCUGAAGGAACGUUGAAGACGACGACGUUGAUAGGCCGGGUGUGUAAGCGCAGCGAUGCGUUGAGCUAACCGGUACUAAUGAACCGUGAGGCUUAACCUU